rnacentral:misc_RNA from 1 species
AAUCGGAUCACCACGAAGGAGACUGAGCCAUGGCCGCUGUCAGCGCCAACAAACUCGAAUUGCUGCAGAUCGCCGACGCCGUCGCACGCGAAAAGUCGAUCGACCGCUCGAUCGUGAUCGCAGCGAUGGAGGACGCCAUCGCCAAGGCGGCCCGCGCCCGCUACGGCUCCGAGACCGAUGUGCACGCGGAGAUCGACGCCAAGAAGGGCGAACUUCGGCG